GUAACUACCAGUCCCUGUACGAUUACCGAAGUUAAGCAAGGUCGAGCCUUAUCACUACUGAGAUGGGUGACCGUUUGGGAAUACUAAGUGUUGUAAG